AACGAACGCUGGCGGCAUGCCUAACACAUGCAAGUCGAACGAGACCUUCGGGUCUAGUGGCGCACGGGUGCGUAACGCGUGGGAACCUGCCCUUAGGUUCGGAAUAACUCCCCGAAAGGGGUGCUAAUACCGGACACUGUCUUCGGACCAAAGAUUUAUCGCCUUUGGAUGGGCCCGCGUUGGAUUAGCUAGUUGGUAGGGUAAAAGCCUACCAAGGCGACGAUCCAUAGCUGGUCUGAGAGGAUGAUCAGCCACACUGGGACUGAGACACGGCCCAGACUCCUACGGGAGGCAGCAGUGGGGAAUAUUGGACAAUGGGCGAAAGCCUGAUCCAGCAAUGCCGCGUGAGUGAUGAAGGCCUUAGGGUUGUAAAGCUCUUUUACCCGGGAUGAUAAUGACAGUACCGGGAGAAUAAGCUCCGGCUAACUCCGUG
rnacentral:rRNA from 1 species